rnacentral:rRNA from 1 species
UACGGAGGGUGCGAGCGUUGUUCGGAAUCACUGGGCGUAAAGCGCGUGUAGGCGGCCCAUUAAGUCUGAUGUGAAAGCCCGGGGCUCACCCCCGGAAGUGCAUUGGAAACUGAUGGACUCGAGUCCCGGAGAGGAGAGUGGAAUUCCUGGUGUAGCGGUGAAAUGCGUAGAUAUCAGGAGGAAUACCGAUGGCGAAGGCAGGUCUCUGGGCUAUAACUGACGCUCAUGCACGAAAGCGUGGGGAGCAAACAGG